UACGUAGGGCGCGAGCGUUGUCCGGAAUUAUUGGGCGUAAAGAGCUCGUAGGCGGCCUGUCGCGUCGGUUGUGAAAGCCCGGGGCUCAACCCCGGGUCUGCAGUCGAUACGGGCAGGCUAGAGUUCGGUAGGGGAGAUCGGAAUUCCUGGUGUAGCGGUGAAAUGCGCAGAUAUUGGGAAGAACACCGGUGGCGAAGGCGGCUCUCUGGACCGAUACUGACGCUGAGGCGCGAAAGCGUGGGGAGCAAACAGG
rnacentral:rRNA from 1 species